rnacentral:rRNA from 1 species
GACGAACGCUGGCGGCGUGCUUAACACAUGCAAGUCGAACGGAAAGGCCCUGCUUUUGUGGGGUGCUCGAGUGGCGAACGGGUGAGUAACACGUGAGUAACCUGCCCUUGACUUUGGGAUAACUUCAGGAAACUGGGGCUAAUACCGGAUAGGAGCUCCUGCUGCAUGGUGGGGGUUGGAAAGUUUCGGCGGUUGGGGAUGGACUCGCGGCUUAUCAGCUUGUUGGUGGGGUAGUGGCUUACCAAGGCUUUGACGGGUAGCCGGCCUGAGAGGGUGACCGGCCACAUUGGGACUGAGAUACGGCCCAGACGCCUACGGGAGGCAGCAGUGGGGAAUAUUGCACAAUGGGCGGAAGCCUGAUGCAGCAACGCCGCGGGCGGGAUGACGGCCUUCGGGUUGUAAACCGCUUUCGCCUGUGACGAAGCGUGAGUGACGGUAAUGGGUAAAGAAGCACCGGCUAACUACGUGC